GACGGCUGCUAACACACCAGAGGGACACCAGGCGGCGGGCCGGCCGCCAGGGAUGACUCCGGCGUGGCGGCGCCAUGGGUGCCGCACCCGAGCUCGCCGGUUUUCUCAAAACUCGUGAAAUCUUGCGCUAGAAGAGAAACGGAGAACACCAGGCGGGAGAGAAACUCACCCUGAGCUCACCUGGGCGUUUGCCAUGACCCGAGAGCGUGCGAGGAUGGCUCGCCACGGUGGAGAUAGGGCGCGGCCACAGUGAGAUCCAAAAACACACGGACCAGGGCGGCUAGGGCUUGGUUUCACGAUUUAGAUGCAAAGGGGAGUUCACUGCGGUGCUAGGGAGUCUUAUAGGACGCGAUUGAGCGAGAAAUCCCAGAUUCUUCGGGAUUUGGAAGAUGCGGCUCGGGGCUGGUUGCUCCCCAACCGAGUCCUUGCCGGUUAUGGCUGAAGGUAGGGGAAGGAGUGGGCGCUGCCAUCCGGGCCCCGGGUGUCAACGGUUCAAAGAGAGAAAAGAGAGGGGAGGGACGCGGGCCGCAGGGAGCGCUGGGCUGCGGGGUCUGCUCGGCCGGGGAAGGGGAAGUGGGCCGAGUGAGGGGAGAAAAGAAGCAGGCUAGGGGGGCUGGCUGGGUUUCCCUUUCUUUUUUUUCCUUUUCUGUUUUCUUUUUAUUUUCUUUUUCAAAAAAACAUUUUCUACAUAGAAUUCUGUGCACAAAUUAUUUCUAACCAAAAGCAAUCAAGCAAAACAUAAAAUAUGCGCCAGCAUGAAUGCACCAUCAAGGUUACUAAACCUAUGAUGAAUUUUAAUUUCUACAAAAUUAUUUAUUUGCUAGGUUCAAAUGCUCGCAUAAAUACUUCAAUAAAUCAAAUUAAUUCCUAUUAAUUGAAAUGAUGUUUUUUGGGUGUUACAAACUCUACCCCCUUAAAAGAAUCUCGUCCUCGAGAUUUAACGGUGCUUACUCAAACAAGUAUGUGUAUGAUUUCCUCAUAUCAUCCUCUCUUUCCCAUGUUGCCUCUGCUUCUGAAUACCGAUUCCACUGCACUUUGCACAUUCUAAUCACCCAACUUCUGGUGACUCUCUCAGCUGUCUCCAAUAUUCGGAUCGGAUACUCUUCAUAAGUGAGAUCACCUUUAACAGAGAGUUCUUCCAAUGGUAUUUACUUCUCGGGUACACGCAAACACUUCUUAAGUUGUGACACAUGGAACACAUCAUGCACACCAGAUAAACUUUCAGGCAACUAUAACUGAUACGCUACUUCUCCACACCUUUGCAAAACUUUAAACAGACCAACAUACCUUAGAGCUAGCUUUCCUUUCAUAUUAAACCUCUUCACACUCCGCAUAGGUGACACUUUCAAAUAGACAUAAUCACCUUCCUUGAAAGCUAGUUCUCUCCUACGUGUAUGUGCAUAACUUUUCUGACGAGACUGAGCAACUCUCAAAUUAUCCCGGAUAGUCCGCACUUGUUGUUCUGCAUGUCUAAGCACAUCCGUACCAAACACCUGAGUCUCCCCAGUUUGAUUCCAAAACAAAGGUGUUCUACACUUACGACCAUAUAAUGCUUCAAACGGUGCCAUUUUAAGACUUUGCUGAUAACUGU
rnacentral:lncRNA from 1 species